GUUCAUGUAGCUUAAUAAUAAAGCAAAGCACUGAAAAUGCUUAGAUGGAUUUCUAAUCCCAUAAACA
rnacentral:tRNA from 1 species